rnacentral:sRNA from 1 species
GCCGGGCGUGAUGGCACGCGCCUGUAGUCCCAGCUACUCGGGAGGCUGAGGCAGAAGAAUCGCUCGAACCCAGGAGGCGCAGGAUGCAGUGAGCAGACGUCGUGCCACUGCACUCCAGCCUGGGAAACAGAUCGAGACUCUGUCUCAA